AAAACUUUCAACAACGGAUCUCUUGGUUCUGGCAUCGAUGAAGAACGCAGCAAAAUGCGAUAAGUAAUGUGAAUUGCAGAAUUCAGUGAAUCAUCGAAUCUUUGAACGCACAUUGCGCCCGCCAGUAUUCUGGCGGGCAUGCCUGUUCGAGCGU
rnacentral:rRNA from 3 species